GACGAACGCUGGCGGCGUGCUUAACACAUGCAAGUCGAACGGGCCUUGUCCCCUUUUUUUUUGGGGGUGGGGUUAGUGGCGAACGGGUGAGUAACACGUGAGUAACCUGCCCCUCACUUCUGGAUAACCGCUUGAAAGGGUGGCUAAUACGGGGUGUUCUGGCCUGCUCGCAUGGGUGGGUUUGGAAAGAUUCGACCGGUUUGGUUGUUUUGGUGGGGGAUGGGCUCGCGGCCUAUCAGCUUGUUGGUGGGGGGAUGGCCUGCCAAGGCUUUGACGGGUAGCCGGCCUGAGAGGGUGGGCGGUCACACUGGGACUGAGACACGGCCCAGACUCCUACGGGAGGCAGCAGUGGGGAAUAUUGCACAAUGGGCGCAAGCCUGAUGCAGCGACGCCGCGUGAGGGAUGGAGGCCUUCGGGUUGUGAACCUCUUUCGCCAGUGAAGAAGGUCCUGCUCUUUGUGGUGGGGUUGACGGUAGCUGGGUUAAUGAAGCGCCGGCUAACUACGUG
rnacentral:rRNA from 1 species